CCUACGGGAGGCAGCAGUGAGGAAUAUUGGACAAUGGGCGCAAGCCUGAUCCGGCCAUGCCGCGUGCAGGAUGAAGCAUCUAUGGUGUGUAAACUGCUUUUGUACGAGAAGAAACACUCCGACGUGUCGGAGCUUGACGGUAUCGUAAGAAUAAGGAUCGGCUAACUCCGUGCCAGCAGCCGCGGUAAUACGGAGGAUCCAAGCGUUAUCCGGAAUCAUUGGGUUUAAAGGGUCCGUAGGCGGGCUUAUAAGUCAGUGGUGAAAUCUCCCGGCUCAACCGGGAAAUGGCCAUUGAUACUGUAGGUCUUGAAUUAUUAGGAAGUAACUAGAAUAUGUAGUGUAGCGGUGAAAUGCUUAGAGAUUACAUGGAAUACCAAUUGCGAAGGCAGGUUACUACUAAUUGAUUGACGCUGAUGGACGAAAGCGUGGGUAGCGAACAGGAUUAGAUACCCUGGUAGUCCACGCCGUAAACGAUGGAUACUAGCUGUUGGGGGCAACUUCAGUGGCUAAGCGAAAGUGAUAAGUAUCCACCUGGGGAGUACGUUCGCAAGAAUUGAAAUUCAAAGGAAUUGAGGCUGAGAGNGCGAGACGACGACGAGGAGGAGG
rnacentral:rRNA from 1 species